AGAGUUUGAUCCUGGCUCAGGAUGAACGCUGGCGGCAUGCCUAAUACAUGCAAGUCGAACGAAGUCUUCUAGGAAGCUUGCUUCCAAAGAGACUUAGUGGCGAACGGGUGAGUAACACGUAGGUAACCUGCCCAUGUGUCCGGGAUAACUGCUGGAAACGGUAGCUAAAACCGGAUAGGUAUACAGAGCGCAUGCUCAGUAUAUUAAAGCGCCCAUCAAGGCGUGAACAUGGAUGGACCUGCGGCGCAUUAGCUAGUUGGUGAGGUAACGGCCCACCAAGGCGAUGAUGCGUAGCCGGCCUGAGAGGGUAAACGGCCACAUUGGGACUGAGACACGGCCCAAACUCCUACGGGAGGCAGCAGUAGGGAAUUUUCGUCAAUGGGGGAAACCCUGAACGAGCAAUGCCGCGUGAGUGAAGAAGGUCUUCGGAUCGUAAAGCUCUGUUGUAAGUGAAGAACGGCUCAUAGAGGAAAUGCUAUGGGAGUGACGGUAGCUUACCAGAAAGCCACGGCUAACUACGUGCCAGCAGCCGCGGU
rnacentral:rRNA from 1 species